rnacentral:lncRNA from 1 species
UCAGAAAUAAGAAAGUAAAUUAGAAUAAGAAAUGACAAAGUAAUCAAUAGAAAGUACAAGUAAUUAUAUUCCAACAAUAAUCAGAACGUAUCUGUACAAAUGACAUUUCUUUCCCUUAUAUAGAGGUCUUCAAGUACAAUGUCUUUUUCUUUUUAAGACCGAGUCAUUAUGAGCAUUAAUGACAUUAAUGAAACGUUAUAAUUGGUAAUCGUAAUUGUUCGUGAAGAUUCUGUAACAUUUGUAAUCAUCCACGAUCUUUAAUUGAAGAUCCAUGAAUCUGCCCUUUUUACUGUCUUGGUUCAUUCCAUCGGUGCCUCUUCAUAUAACUUAAAGAGACUCGAGCAACCAUUUCUUUUCACCUCGUGGGUGAUUUGUUCGUAUCUGCUGCGACUCGUGUCUCUUUUAGUGCUCCUCUCCAGCUGUCUCUUUUCUAGUGAUCCACGUGCCUUGACAUGUCAACCAUAUAAUUAACUCCACGUGUAAUAUUUAUUUUUACCAAUACAAACUACUGUGCAGGGCCUACAUUUACAUGUAUUUAGGUGAGGAUCCCUUUGACAAGGAAGCCAAGGACAAGUUUGGGACAUCCAUGCUCUCAAUGUUCUAAUUAAGUUGAGAAAUUUCAGCAAUUUCUACAAUGUUAGGGAAUACGUUUGUUUUUUGUGCUGUGCAUCUAUGGUGUUCUGUUCCUGAAGAAAAGAACGCGAGAAGAUGGGUCCUCUCAUCUGUGCUCACUUUUGUUCGAUAUCUAGUUUAGUCUAGGUCAGAUAUAAAGAUCUUGAAAUGUUAACUUUGAGCACUUAAUAAUUUCAAUGAAAGAUUAAUAGGGUUGCUUUUGAGUUAAGUGUAUAAUUUCACAAGUUCUAAUACCCAAGGUUGACUCCUCAGGGUCCCUCUCUCAAAUCACUCAGAGAGAGGUACAUUAUACAAGCUUCAAUUGAGUAAAAAGAAAAAAUAUCUAUGGUUAAAAUGUUAUAUUUACUGUGCAAAUCAUCCAAUUACUACAACACCAAGAAUUAAUUACUUGGCUCAGGAUAUCUAUAGAUACUUUACAUAACUAGGUGUUCUAUAAACAAAUUAAAGGUGAGCAUAUAGUGUGUGGGUAUAUAUAUAUAUAUAUAUAUAUAUAUAUAUAUAUAUCCAGCUCUCGAUCGAAUAGUCAAUUUUUUUGUAAAUCAAAUUCUAAUUUUGAGACUAGCUAGCGUGCUUAAACAUAAGUAGUGAAUAGGCCGAUUCCGUAAACUUUUGAACCAAAUUCAUAUUUUUAGUCCGAUUAAAGAGUAAUACAUACAUUGUUCUGAUGAUAACGAACAAAUUAAAGGAGAGGUGCAGUAAAAAGAAGAAAGAAAAAUUUAAAUUUGAAAACCACAUUGAGAGAGAUCAGCGAUGAAUAUAACCCAAACAGCUGCACUUUAAUUUUAAAAGUAUAAUUAUUCCAGAAAAUAUAUUAAAAGUACAAUUAUUCAUGUGUCGUUCUGACAUUUCACUCACAAUACAUAAUAUUAGCAAGGAAAAAGAUAAAAAUAUUUUUUCUUAAAAUCCGAGAUUAUGAUCUCUUAUCCCGAUAUCCAAACGAUGAAUUAGAUUACACGAGCCAAUGCCCAUCAUCGCAAUCACUAUCAAUAUCGAGACAUGGUGCGAAUCCAAUCACUAUCAAUAUUGCAACUAUUUUCACAAGUUAUUAUAUUUGUGAGAGAAAAUAAUUUUUUUCUAAUUGUAUACGGUCAAAAUCGAAUUUGUCCUUCGUAUGACUAAUCGAGAUUGGAACGUGGUGGUCCGAGGAUUAUCAUUGUGAUAUCAAGACAUGGUGCGAAGUAUAUGUUGUCAGGAUUGAGAUCGAACGACCGAUCAAGAUCGAGAUCGGGACCAAGAUCGAGCUCUAAGACUCAGAGAUCGAUCAAGAUCGAGAUCGGCCGGGAUCAAGAUCGAGCCAAGGGACAAAAGAGCCGUUAUGACCGCAAUUAGGAGGGGAAUCUCGACGAAAAUCAUGGCGCAAAUCAAAAAUAGAUUAAUUAAUUAAUCUAUCAUGAGAUCCUCACGAUAUAUAUUUUAUUAUAUCCAAAAUAAGAUUUCCUCACUAUAUUAUGGGCUGUUAUCAUUUGUAAGCUGGCAGAUUCAUUAAGAUUCAUAGAACACAAAGGAAUACACCAUUCUUCUCUGGCUUUGAUAUUUAGUUAUAUUGUUCUCCUAUCAAUUACUCUCUGUCCAACUUGAAGGUUUAGGCUAACUGAUUCAUUCAGUUUGAAUUCAUUUCUUUUAUGACUAAUUUCAAUAUUCAUUUAUUUAUCUUUCUCAAUUUGUAUCAAGUUAUACCACGCAUAAAUUUAUUUCGAGUAAACACUCAUCAUCAUAUUUGAUGGCACCUUUUGGAAAGCCAGCACUUGAGAUACUCUUGAAGAGCAAGAAUUUUUAACUGCAUAUCAUAAUUUUAGCCAAAAUAAAAUCAUAAGGAGUACAAUUACAAAACUUGAUAAAAAGUGAUAUAGUCACAUACCAGAAGUUGCUAUAAAGAGAAUGGUGAAAAUUAUGCCAAAUUUGAGCAAUUCUUUUCCACUAGCCAUAUUAACACAACAUUGGAUUACUGAAUGAGAAUGGAAGAGUGUAUAUAUAGUUAUUUGAGUAAAACUAAGAUCUAAUGCCCUCUGUUAAGAUAUUAAUUAAUUUGGAGCUCAUUUCGACAACUUAGCUUUCUAUUAUCAUGAUUCAUGAACAUGUCGCCGAAAUAAACGGUUAUAUCUCUAGUAAUUAAG